rnacentral:rRNA from 1 species
UACAUGUGGGGCAAGCGUUGUUCGGAAUUACUGGGCAUAAAGGGUGCGUAGGCGGCCUGUUAAGUCACUGGUGAAAGUUUUCGGCCCAACCGGAAAAUUGCCUGUGAUACUGGCGUGCUGGAGUGCGUGAGGGGUGGGGGGAACGAGCAGUGUAGCGGUGAAAUGCGUAGAUAUUGCUCGGAAGGCCGGAGCCGAAGGGGCCCCACUGGUACGUAACUGACGCUGAGGCACGAAAGCGUGGGGAGCAAACAGG